CACGUGGGAUUGAACUGAACAAUGAGGGAUU
rnacentral:piRNA from 1 species